GAGAGAUUGGUGAAGGGGAGUUGCAUGGAUUGGAGACUGGUAGAAGAUGAGUUUCGAUGUGUAUGAAGAUGGAUGGACUAGAGUUUUGUGGACAGGAGAUCGGUGGAUAUGAUAGUCGUAGACAUGAGAUACGUGGACAACAGCUCUGUGGAUAGCAAACAACAACAUGAGUUAAGGGGAGUUGCAUGGAGUGGAGACUGGUAGAAGAUGAGUUUCGAUGUGUAUGAAGAUGGAUGGACAAGAGUUUCGUGGACAGGAGAUCGGUGUGGACAUGAGAUACGUGGACAACAACUCUGUGGAUAGCAAACAACAACAUGAGUUUCGAUGUGUAGAAGAUGGAUGGACAUAAGUUUCUUGGACAAGAGAUUCGGUGGAUAGGAUAGUGGUGGACAUGAGAUACGUGGACAACAGAUCUGUGGAUAUCAUGAGUGAUAUUUUGCCGUGACAAUAAGAAAUUAGCACAUGAGAUUAUAUUAUGAUGAUAGUUCUCGGUUAGUUUGCAUAUGAAAAUUAAAAAUCAAAACUACAAUAAGAAGUAUUUAAAAGUAAAAAUCAAACUUUGUAUAUCGGAGGAUGAGAGUUUCUCAGCCAUUAAGGAUGAAAGUUUCUCAACCAUUAUAGUUUCUCAACCAUUAGACCACACCUCCCAUCCACUCAUCACCUAACCACAAUACUCCCGUCCAACCAGCGUCGGAUCAUAUAUCUGCUAACCAAACUUCGUCUGACCAUAUCUCUUCUGAGCACGACUCACCUACUUUCUCAACUUUCAAAACCCAUUAAUUACACCUUAAAGGCAUGCUUCUUUGUAACCGUUGGAUCUCAUGUCUUUAUAUUGAUCCAACGCCCACAAACCAUUCACAUAAACUCAUAUACCUACUUUCUGGUUUAUAACUUUAUUAUUAAAUUCAACCAGACACCAACUAAAUUUCAUUACGGUUGCCUC
rnacentral:lncRNA from 1 species